rnacentral:rRNA from 1 species
GAUCUCCACACAUACGUGACCCCCCCCUGUAUUUACACAUAUAAAUCCGCGGAAGAAAAAAAACUAACCAGG